rnacentral:rRNA from 1 species
CAAUAGCGUAUAUUAAAGUUGUUGCAGUUAAAAAGCUCGUAGUUGAAUUUCUGUCAGGAGUGACCGGGCCUUUGGAUGAACUUCCAUUGUUUUUGCUCUGUUUGUCGUCUCUAGACAUCCUGAAAUAUUUUUUUUGAAAUAUUUCUCUUUUACUGUUAGCAAAAUAGAGUGUUCCAAGCAAAGCGUAGUUUUGAAUACAUUAGAAUGGAAUAAUAAGAUAGGACUUUGGUGCUAUUUUGUUGGUUUGCACACCAAGGUAAUGAUUAAUAGGGACAGUUGGGGGUAUUCGUAUUUAAUUGUCAGAGGUGAAAUUCUUGGAUUUAUGAAAGACGAACUACUGCGAAAGCAUUUACCAAGGAUGUUUUCAUUA